AAGAGAAGGACAAGGCAGCCUUGACAGCUGCCAUUGUUCAACUUGACGAGCAGCAGGCAGAGUUUAGGCUCCCCACAGUGGGCAGAGUUUAGCAGGCAGAGUUUAGGCUCCCCACAGUGGAUAAGCUGCUCAAUACUGACAACGUUGUGUGGCCAUGGGAGAGACUAGGCACCAGCAACAGCCAUCUUGCAAUCAAAAAGGCAACGGACGUUGCUGAACAGACUGCAGAGAAAGAGAGGAUCCUGGUGCAGGAGACGAAGAGGCACUGGGGGAGCCUACAAAGAGCUGUGGGAACUCUGGAAGCAUCAUCCCUGCAUCUGCAAGGUCAGAGCAAUGCAGUGGAGUUGUUAGAGGGAGGAAUGGCCUUCUCUGCCUCCUGAAGAGAAGAUUGAGUGAACCGACACAAGACCAAGACAACAGCAGGAACACCGACCACAAGCUGAUUCUGGGAGAAAGCGCUAUUUUUGAUGACUCUGAUGAAGAUGAGCACUCAGAUGAAGAUAUGUCCUAUUGCUGAGAGCUCAGAUGACGACUGCUGUGUUUUCUGAAAUCAUACACUACCCCUGCCUCUCGCUCUCGCUCUCUCCCGCAGGAGAGGGAGAAGGCCGCCACCACCUCCCUCGGGAGCAGCCUGGUCUCCCGAUGUUGACCCCUGACCCCUCACCUUCUGAACCCAUCCAGGGAAAUGUAAUUUGCCUGAUGAUGCGCUAGUGGAGAAGGAAUGUCUAAUUUCAGCGCAUUUGUUUCCAUGUUUCCUCUCCUUCGUUUCUUCUGGUCCUCGACUAUGGCGACAUCAACAGCAACUCAGAAUGUUGACUUAGGACUUCUUUACUGAGGAAUGUGGUUGUUUAAUGUUAUUUUAUUAUUAUAUAUUUUUUGGUAUUUUCUAUGCUGCUGGGAUUGGGAUGGUGUAAU